rnacentral:rRNA from 1 species
ACUGCACGCUGGCGGCAGGCUUAACCCAUGCCAGUAGAGCGGGGGAAGGUAGCUUGCUCCCGGACCUAGCGGAGGACGGGUGAGUAAUGCAUAGGAAUCCGGCGAUUAGUGGGGGACAACAUCUCGAAAGGGAUGCUAAUACCGCAUACGUCCUACGGGUGAAAGCAGGGGAAGUUCGGACCUUGAGCUAAUAGAUGAGGCUCAGUCGGAUUAGCUAGUAGGUGGGGUAAAGGCCUACCAAGGCGACGAUCUGUAACGGGUAUGUGAGAAUGAUCCGCCACACUGGGGCUGAGCCACGGGCCAGGCUCCUACAGGAGGGAGCAGUAGGUAAUAUUGGACAAUGGGGGGGACCCGGAUCCAGCCAUGCCGCGUGUGUGAAGAAGGCCUUAUGGUUGUAAAGCACUUUAUGCGAGGAGGAGGCUAGUUUAGUUAAUACCUAGAGAUAGUGGACGUUACUCGCAGAAUAAGCACCGGCUAACUCUGUGCCAGCAGCCGCCGUAA